AUUGAACGCUGGCGGCAUGCCUUACACAUGCAAGUCGAACGGUAACAGGUUAAGCUGACGAGUGGCGAACGGGUGAGUAAUGUAUCGGAACGUGCCCAGUCGUGGGGGAUAACUGCUCGAAAGAGCAGCUAAUACCGCAUACGACCUGAGGGUGAAAGCGGGGGAUCGCAAGACCUCGCGCGAUUGGAGCGGCCGAUAUCAGAUUAGGUAGUUGGUGAGGUAAAGGCUCACCAAGCCGACGAUCUGUAGCUGGUCUGAGAGGACGACCAGCCACACUGGGACUGAGACACGGCCCAGACUCCUACGGGAGGCAGCAGUGGGGAAUUUUGGACAAUGGGCGCAAGCCUGAUCCAGCCAUGCCGCGUGCGGGAAGAAGGCCUUCGGGUUGUAAACCGCUCUUGUCAGGGAAGAAAAGGUUCUGGCUAAUACCUGGGACUCAUGACGGUACCUGAAGAAUAAGCACCGGCUAACUACGUG
rnacentral:rRNA from 1 species